rnacentral:misc_RNA from 1 species
AACGCACAUUGCGCCCUCUGGUAUUCCGGGGGGCAUGCCUGUUCGAGCGUCAUUACAACCUUCAAGCAUUGCUUGGUAUUGGGUGCUUCGUUCCUUAAACUUUAGGGGGCGCACCUGAAAGUUAGCGGCGGUACGGCCGGUGAUCGAGCGUAGUAAUAACACUGCUUUCCGCUUGAGAGUCACCUGGACGUUCCAGCCGGGCAACUCAACUAUUUUUUUUUUCAAUGGUUGACCUCGGAUCAGGUAGGGAUACCCGCUGAACUUAA